UUUUUAUUAAACAAUUACUUUAGAUAGCGGUGAUUGUAGAGCUGUUUUUAUACAAUCUAUGUUGUAGAGUGACAGCUAGUUUGUGAUGGGCGUGAGAAAUUAAGCUCCCGCUUUCAUACGUAAUCAGUAUGGGACAAAGGAAAACGCGCGCUUUCAAACGUCAUCAACGGGAGACAAAGGAAUUGUGCGGCAGUGUGUUAACUUAACAUGGAGAACUCCGUCAAAAGUCGAAAAGGCCUGCGGACGCGGGCCAAAAGGAACGACAGCGUGGAAAUGGAUGCAUUGGAGAAGACGUGCGUCAGUGACACUAGUGGUGUCUCUGUGGCCCCCACUGCACAUCUGGCAGACAAAAGAAAAUCCCAUGAGUUGGAGAUGUGUAAGCUGAGAGUAGAGUGGCAAAAAGAGAUGAACUGACCAAGGAGAGGGACUAUUUAAAAGAGCAACUGGUGUCAGCUCUUAAAAGAGAGGACACAGGUUCCAGCCAGGCGAUUCCCUUGUCUUCAGAUUCCUCUCGUGACAGCUCAGAUGAAUCUUCCUCUGAUACUGUGUCUGACUCCUCUACAUCCUCAGAGGAGGACAGGAAGAAAAAGAGGACGAAAAAAAGGGGAAAGGAAAAAAGUAUGGGAAGAAGUCAAAGAAAAUGGAAAAGAAGACACGUCAGAGAGGUUAGAAUGCUUUUUACACUCGAACCACUCACUGGGUUAUGGUUUGCCACUGCUUACACUGCGUUCAGAGGUUUGGGAUCAGUUUGAUUUUUAAUGUUUUUUUUAAAGAAGUUUCUGCUCUUCAAGGCUGCAUUCAUUCAAUUGAAAAUAAAGACAAAAACAGUAAUAUUGUGAAAUAUUAUUACAAUUUAAAAUAAUGGUGUUCUAUUUUAAUAUUCUUUACAAUAUAAUUUAUUCCUCUCAUCAAAGCAAAAUUUUCAUCAGUCAUUACUCUAGUCUUCAGUGUCACAUGACCCUUCAUCAGUCUUAAUACAUUGAUUUAUUAUCAGUUUUUGCUGCUUUUUCUUUUGUAACCUGUGUUUGUUUUUUUUGUUUUUUUUUUCCUGAAUUCUUUGAAUAAAAAGUUUAAAAGAACAUAAUUUAUUCAAAAUAGAAAUCCUUUGUAAUAAUAUUCAUGAACAUUUUGAUUCUUUGCACAGCUCUAUGACCAUUCAAAAGUUUAGAAUCAAUAAAUUCCGGUAAGCUGCUGCCCCUAAAACGAAAGUGAACUGACCAAAAUCAAAUUAAAGUUGUACAGUGAACUGAAAUCCAUCCAUAAUCUGCACUGCUGUUCUGUAAUGUUUGAAAGUUAGUACUGAGGUAGUUUUGAAAUAUUUUAUAAUAUUAUUGUUUUAUAAAAAUGUUUUUGUUGUAUUUUAUAAUCCAGUGUUGGCACUGGUAAAUUUACAUUCAGCAAUGUUUGCACUUUACAGAAAUGUAUUUUUAUAUCUGAUUGCAGAGUCCUAGUUGCAUUUUACUGCACAGGUGUGCAGGAAUUUUAUUUUCUAUGACAUUGCAUAGGUUUAUUUUUCAUUUUAUAUAUCAGUUCAUUUUAUGUUAAUUUAUGUGUUCAGUUGUACAAUUUUAUUUUUGCAGAGGUUUAUUUUAUUUAUUUAUUUUGUAUUCAAUAUGUACAGUUGUACAGUUUCAUUUCUUUUGCAUCUUGAAAUAAAUAUUUCUAUGUCCUGUAUCCCUCUGUGUUGUGUUUUCCUUUUCUGUUUAGAAGAUAACUGAGUCUUUAACUCUCAUUUGUAAAUGCUUUACAAGGCAUAAAUAGUCCUCACUUUAGAUGAGCUC